ensembl:snoRNA SNORD4B Small nucleolar RNA Z17
GGUGCACAUGAUGUUAGAUGCGAUCAAAGUAUGAAUAAGUAUGAUUCCAGCUUAAUAAUCUACUGAUGCACC